CCCAAGAUCACCACUAAUCUUCUGGACAAUGUGCGCAGGUGCCCAAUAUUUCUGACCACUGACCAGGCUCAGAACCAGACGCUGGUCGACCACCUGAUACAGGUACUCUCUACCACAUACAGGUACUCUCUACCACAUACAGGUACUCUCUACUACAUACAGGUACUCUCUACCACAUACAGGUACUCUCUACCACACACAUGUACUCUCUACCACACACAGGUACUCUCUACCACACACAGGUACUCUCUAACACACACAGGUACUCUCUACCACACACUGGUACUCUCUACCACACACAGGUACUCUCUACCACACACAGGUACUCUCUACCACAUGUCACACAGGCUCUACUGGGAAUCAAUUCUUAUGAAUUAAGACAUAUCGCCAAUAAAGUACGAAACGCCUUCAUCAGAGUAACUGAUUAAUUAUACAUUUGGUAUUUAAAUACGUGUGAUAUGAUGUCUGAAAGCUAUAAAUUUUACCUGAUAAAUAAUUAUUGAGAAAUAAAUUAAAAACAUACUUUUGAUUUUGAUAAACCAGCCCGAAAUAGCAAAAAUGAGAGUGAGGUGGUGGACACUCAUUGGCGGAUCCAAGUUAGUGGGAGCAUCACAAUAUAUACUUGCAAUGAAAUGAUAUUGAAUGAUUACCUAAAGAGUGAAUAUAUGUACUGGGAACUUAUUUUAGGUAUUCGUAGAACUUUGACAAAUGUUGAAUAAAUAAAAUGCGUCAAUUCGUUUCUUGAAUGUGCGAUUUUAGUUUUGAUGGAUAAACUCUUGCAAAGCACAACCUCUGGUGAGAAAAUCGGAUAGAACUUUCCAUAACGAAGUAACCAAGGACGGGAGUUGACAGGACGAGUUCGGCAAGCAUCGCAGGCUGAUAACUUGGAUAGGCAAUCUAUUUAGAGAGACGACGCACUAAAUACUUACUCACUGGUUUGAAAUUAAAUAAAAAAAGUUUGCUAUUUGUCCAGUCAGCUGCAGCAAAAAAAUUCCACGUACAUGCAGUGGAGUCGGAAGCAAAUUGAAAGUGGGGGGAGGCUAGACUUAUAAAAAAAAUGUAGACAAGCAAAAAAGGGGUCUUUAUUAUUUUCAUUUUUGACUGCUCCUCUAAAUAUCCAGCUAAGCUGUACUUAUUUCAAUUUUUGGGAAAUACGUUUUCAUUUUAAUGGAUAAAAUUUCAUUCCUGCGCUUGCGCGGGUAAUCAUCUAGUGUAAUGUGAUGCUUGAUAUAUUACUGUUUGUAUUAUAGAAUGGCCAGAUUUCUAACAUCCUUAUUGACACCCUGGAGCUGAGAAUUCUAAUGGCGUGUUUAUCAACCGUCAUGGUGACUUUCUACGUCAGAGAAAUCGUCAGCAUCUAUGCCAGGCGGUGGCAGUACCUCCUUAAACCGUUCAACUACGUGACACUGGUCAUGUUGUUUGGGACCUCCGCCACCUUGACCCCCAUCGGAUACAUCCCGUGUGAGGAUCAGUGGCGGUCGGCCUGGAUCGCUCUCCUGUGUGCUUGGAUCAGCCUCAUCUCCAUCCUCAGGGCUUUGGACGUGGUUGGAAUAUACUUUGUUAUGUUGGAACAAGUAUCCAAGUCCCUGGCCAAGAUUGCCGCUGUUCUUGUGGUCUUCCUACUUGCCUUUUCCCAAGCCUUUUAUAUUACUAUGGCCCAGACGCCUGGGUUUCAAAAUGGGCAGCCCUACCCCAUCACAGUCCUGGCCAUGACCCUGGGGGAACUGAACUUUGUGGACAACUUUGUCAGUGGCCUUGACCGCACCUUCUACUACGACAACCUCACCCUGUUCAUUCUAUUCGCUAUGAUCAUGCCCAUCUCUCUCAUGAACUUGCUGAUCGGUGUGGCGGUGGGGGACAUUGACGCCGUACAGAAGAGGGCGUACCUCGUCAGGCUGUCCAUCCAGAUUGACUUCAUUACCAACGCAGAGAGAACCUUUCCAAGAUAUUUCCAGAGAAAGUUUCAUAAAAAGGAACAUGUGAUCACGCCAAAUAGCAACAUGAAUUCCAGAUUCAAUAAAUUCUACAAGUUUGUGUUCGGGGUGAAGCGGAAUACCGGGGCAUUCAUCAGUGAGGAGAAGGAUUACGUCACAGAAACGGUCCAGCAGCUGAAGGAGGAGGUCCGGGCCACCAGGCGGCAACUUGCACAGUCCUCCGCUCUCCAGAAGCAGGCCCUGGAUCUGAUGAAGCAGAUGUGUGACCAGCUCCAGGUCACUUACACCCUGGACAACCUGUCAGUCACCGACUCGCACCGGCCCCCCACACGCGGCAGACCCACGUAACCCUACGCCACAGGGGACCACACAGCUCUCGCAUGGUCCACCACCUUUAGAAACACCGCAGCUCUCGUGGAAUCUCACUCGCCAUAGAUCAGUGGCCAUUCCGGGGGAGGCUACUCUGGAAUAGAGAGUUCCGCCUCCUCUCCACUCAUGAAGACGCGCCCUAGUGGGAGAUUAAUAGAUACAUGGCCUGCAGAAAGUCCAGAUAAAUACUCCAAUCUUGUGUCUAUUUUGUUAUCCACGUCAAAGACAUUUCCCUAUUUUGUGGACCGAAGUUUGACUCUUUUCAUCUUAUUGAAUGAAUAUUUUAGACAUUUC
rnacentral:misc_RNA from 1 species